GGUCUUUGCAUAGCCAUAUCCUAAUAAAAGAUGGAUUGCCUGACUUGUAUAUUGAUGCCCCCAAGAUAUUGAAUCAGAAAAACUUCCAGUUCACUCAGUGGUGCCCCUCUGGAGUACUUAUGGAAAGACAUAAGGAAGAAUCACACAAGGAAUUAGUGAAAGGAAUGGAUUCUGAGAGACCCAGAAAGACAUAUAUGAACUGAUUCAUAGUGAAGUGAGCAACACCCAGAAAAAAAGUUAUACAAUAACAACAUUGUAAAGAAAGACAAUUUAAAAAGACUUAAGAAUUCUGAUCAAUGUAAUGACCAA
rnacentral:lncRNA from 1 species